UACAGAGGAGCCAAGCGUUGUCCGGAUUGACUGGGCGUAAAGCGCACGCAGGCGGAUGCGCGCGUGGGGUGUGAAAUCUGGCCGCUUAACGGCCAGGCGCCAUCCCAUACGGCGCGUCUGGAGUGAUGCAGAGGUCGAUGGAAUUGCCGGUGUAGUGGUGAAAUGCGUAGAGAUCGGCAGGAACACCCAGGGGGAAACCAGUCGACUGGGCAUCUACUGACGCUGAGGUGCGAGAGCGUGGGGAGCGGAACCGG
rnacentral:rRNA from 1 species